GUCUACAGCCAUGCCAUCCUGAACAAGCUGGAUCCCUUCUGAUCUCAGAAGCUAAGUGAGGUCGGGCCUGGUUAGUACUUGGAUAGGUACCUACUUGUAACCUCUGGCGAUCUGAUCU
rnacentral:rRNA from 1 species